UGUUGUGGAAGACUCGAAGGUCAAUGGAAGGUCAAUAGUCAAUAGUCAACAGUCAAUACUGAAUAUUAACAUAUAAUAGUAAGUGAAAAUGAAAGAAGAUGAGAGGAGAAUGAAGGAACCAGUAGGAGAAAUCGGGGGAGAGAUAGAAUUGAGAAAGCGAUUGAAAUAAGGAUGAUGAUGAUGGUGUUGUUGAAGACGUAGUUGUUGUUGAUGAUGAUCUUUUUGCCUCUGUCUCUGCCUGGCUUUGUGAUUCUGGAACCAGUAGAAGACGUUCUUACCUUCAAUGGGACCAUAAACCUUGAGCCUCUCCAUAAUCUCCUUAAUUUCUUUAGGGUUUGGAGUUCUCACUCCCUGGUUAUAGAUCUCCUCCAACGUGCUUAUCUGCUCUUUCGUUGGGUUCCAUCGCGAACAACUUGACGACGAUGAUGACGACCCUGCCGCAACACACUCCUCCAUUAGUAGUAUCUAAAUCUAAGCAUUAUUAUUAUGAUGAUGAUAAAGGCAUGCGCAGUCUUGGUGGGUUAAUGAAGAGAGAGAAGAGCGCAGACAUUGACAAAUUGACCAAAGGUCGAUAAGCAGUGUCGCCGCCUCUAAUUAUCAGUGUCAUCUCACCUCGUGAACAAGACACAUAAAAAUGGGUGGCAGAUGGCACAUUCCCCCUUGCCCUGUUUAUUUCUUCCACGCAAUUCGAGAACACAACGCAACAUUAAGGAUUUACUUUGCUACGUCAUAUUUCAUAUUUCCCCCUCUUAUUCUGCAUUCUUCAUUGUUUGGAACGGAAAUUUGUUGAAAUGUGUCAAUCACUACAUGAAUGCUACAAACAUGCAGGAUUUGGUUC